UUAUGGAUGUUUCCAAAUGAGAAAGGAGACCCUAAAAUAAUUUCAAAUAAGCUUAAAAUUCAGUUACUGUGAUUUUUCCGUGUGGUCGGUUAUUAUCUGGCCCACCCCUGCAGGGUAAAAACUACCUUUUUUAAGCAGUUUUGAGUGAGCGUGCACGGUCGGCCGUAUCUUCAUCUGUCAAACUUUUUCUCGGUCGGCCAUGUGAGAAUCCCAUUUUGUACGGGAAAUGGCGAAAUUUUGUGAAAAAAAUCUAUUUAAUAGCUCUAUCCUUGCCCAAGCAACAGGACUAUCGGAGUGAUGUUCCGUGGUGGCGGUGGUUGGUCAUUGCCCGACCGAUUCCCAAAAAAGCCAGCUGGAGGAAGUACAGCAGGUAGGUUUCUACAAGAUGAUGUUACUUCCUCAGUAGAAGGAAAGAUCUUUCGAUGGCCGGAAGCAUCAUUAUUGUUUUCUUAAGAUUCCUCCUGCUUUAGGAAGAUGGUUUAGACAAUAAUUGUUUGAAGAUUCAUUAGGAUUUGAAAGAUGAUUUCUCCUUUGACAAAUAAUUGGUCACAUGAGAAAACAUCUAAUUAUUUUUGUCGAAAUCAUCUUCCCAAAGCAGAAGGAAAAAGCAAUAAUGAUUUUUCCGGCCUUCGAAGAUCAUUCCUUCUGCUGCCAAAAAAGGUUUCUCCGUUGGUCGAAAGAAGACUUUCAUAUUCCGUAAGCCAGAACCACCGCAAGAAUCCUCUUGAAAGCAAUGAUUCCUCUGACUGCCGCAGGAUAAUUCCCCUGAUUGCCAGAUCGUGCAGCUGUCAAAUGCGAUCUCUUCUGGUAACCAGCAACUGUUGCUGAAAACAUAAACUUCUGUCAACCAGGGGAAUUAUCCUGCGGCAGUCAGAGGAAUCAUUGGUUCUGGAAGAUAAACGUUGUGGAUCAAUCUCUGAGAGUACUCGGGUAACUUCUAUGUUUACAUAUCUCAAGACUAACUAUUGAAAAAGCCACAACAACAUUUUGUAAACAAACAUGAUCUACCAGGGGACUGUUAAAUAUGGUCUUGUUUUCUUACCCCGCAUUAAAACUAUUAAGCUGCUGUAUAGUCCAUUUUACGAGCCAAUUUUAUGAAUGAAUUUUGACAGGAGGUAGCGUCCAAUAACACGUAAAAGUCAAUAUCAUCAUCAACAUUGUUGUCACUUCGUAAAAUGGCUCAUUGAAAGAUAGGUUGUCAGCCUGAGCCGUACGCUUGAGCCACAGUUAUGUUGGCUACGAAAACAUUAGUCUUGUUCAACGACCUAGGUUGAACUUGCUCGAAGUUGCUGCAUCCCGCUCUUACCCGUUUGAUGACAAAUGGGUAAGAGCGGGAUGCAGCUACUUCGAGCUAGAGACUGUAUAUAUAGAGACAUGCAAAGACGACUUCUUUUGAUUGUUGUUCUUCUUCUUCGCCAGACUUUGUUUUCAUAAUUGUAGAUUGGUUUCACUCUUUGCGGGACUGUGUUAUAAACAGACUGUACUUCGAGCAAGUUUAACCUGCGUCGUUGAACAGGACUAUUGCAUUGGUGGGAUAGGGAUGCCAGUUCCUUGGUUUCUAUCUACUUGAUGUCUUUUGAACUCCACCCACACACCUCACCACCACUAAGGGCCGAUUUCUUCACCUCGGCUUAACCGGUAAGCCAGGCUUACCCAUACAGUUAAACCUGGCUUAACGCUUAAGCCAGGGUGAAGAAAUCGCCCCUAACAGAUCUGUUAAUGGUGGUGAGAUGCGUGGGUGGAUCCCGGAAGGUCCUAAAACGACAGAAACGUGUUUGUUUACGCAAUGUUGAUGUGGCCUUUUCAAAGUUAUGAUCCAAUGAAAUGUAUUUAUAUAAUCAAUAUAUUUGAAAAUCGGAGUUUUCGACUAGCGAAGAUGGAUUGUUCUCAGAAUCCGGACCUAACUUCGGAAAUAGUGCGCUGUGUAGUAUUCCUUGUCCGAAUAUUUCGGGUUUCAGCUGCACGGAGAAUAACAUUUUUCGAAUAUCUGUAUAAUGAUUUUGUUGAAAAAAGAUAAUUAUAAAAUUUAAUAUCAGGGUGGGGCAAAUUUAGUAACUGCUGAAACUAUAAUGAAAAUUAUUAACAUUACAACCAACCAAAAUACUAUUUUGUUUUUGUUUUGUUUUAAUGCUUACUGUAAGGCUUUAUCGUGAAUUUCCAAUUAAUUUACUUGGAAAAUUCAAUAUCUGUGUGUUGCCGUUUAGAAACUGCUCAACUAGGCUCCUUAGAACUCUUUACAACACUGUGGGCCUCUACUAAUAGAGAACCCCGUAAUCCCCUCAAAUUACCAGGAGUUGUUGUAUGUAUGAAUGCUUUAACAUUAAAAGAAAUUAGCAAUUAACAUUUGAUUAUGUACAAAAUUCAAGUUGUUCAUUCUGCCCCACCUAGGGUGCUCACUUUUCUUCGCCUACUAAACGCAGUUCACUUUUAACCCUUAUGUGGCCGACAGGGUACCCAGGACCCAACGCCCAUUUAAAAAGCACGGUGUAGAAAAAAGCAAAAAGUUUGUCGGACACAUAACGGUUAAGCACGUUUAAGAUAACAUGAAAUUUUGCAAUGUGUAUGACUUAUGUUGGAAUUUCAACGAUAAGCUUUUGUCGGUUAAGGUUCAGAACAUGAAAAUCCUUUUUUGCCAACAGCGAGCAGAAUACAGACGAAUAGCAUUGAUAUUUUCAAGUAUGUUCCAACACUGCAAUCUCAUUUUAAAUAACCAUUUGAAUAUCACACGGUGUUCGUGUAGCAAGCAAGGACUCGGUCAAUAUCCCUUCUUACCUCUUGUUACCAUCGGCUUUGAGCUCUGGCUAACGUCGAUUUAUUGGCUGAUGGUUCACUAAUGCUGCCGAUUUGAUUUUAU